AGUGAACGCUGGCGGUAGGCCUAACACAUGCAAGUCGAACGGCAGCACAGUAAGAGCUUGCUCUUACGGGUGGCGAGUGGCGGACGGGUGAGGAAUACAUCGGAAUCUACUUUUUCGUGGGGGAUAACGUAGGGAAACUUACGCUAAUACCGCAUACGACCUACGGGUGAAAGCAGGGGAUCUUCGGACCUUGCGCGAUUGAAUGAGCCGAUGUCGGAUUAGCUAGUUGGCGGGGUAAAGGCCCACCAAGGCGACGAUCCGUAGCUGGUCUGAGAGGAUGAUCAGCCAAGCUGGAACUGGAACACGGUCCAGACUCCUACGGGAGGCAGCAGUGGGGAAUUUUGGACAAGGGGCGAAAGCCUAACCCAGCCAUGCCGCGUGGGUGAAGAAGGCCUUCGGGUUGUAAAGCCCUUUUGUUGGGAAAAAAAAGCAGCAGGUUAAUACCCCGCUGUUCGAACGGUACCCAAAGAAUAAGCACCGGCUAACUUCGU
rnacentral:rRNA from 1 species